rnacentral:rRNA from 1 species
CGAACGCUGGCGGCGUGCUUAACACAUGCAAGUCGACCGGUGAACCUCUUCGGAGGGGAUCAGUGGCGAACGGGUGAGUAACACGUGGGCAACCUGCCCCCGGCUCUGGGAUAACUCCAAGAAAUUGGGGCUAAUACCGGAUGUUCACCGCUUCCCGCAUGGGUGGUGGUGGAAAGGGUUUCCGGCUGGGGAUGGGCCCGCGGCCUAUCAGCUUGUUGGUGGGGUAGUGGCCUACCAAGGCGACGACGGGUAGCCGGCCUGAGAGGGUGACCGGCCACACUGGGACUGAGACACGGCCCAGACUCCUACGGGAGGCAGCAGUGGGGAAUAUUGCGCAAUGGGCGGAAGCCUGACGCAGCGACGCCGCGUGGGGGAUGACGGCCUUCGGGUUGUAAACCUCUUUCAGCAGGGACGAAGCGCAAGUGACGGUACCUGCAGAAGAAGCACCGGCCAACUACGUG